AAAAGCCCAGUGGUCAGAAACCAACCUGCUCUCAUUUGGAAGACUGGAAGAGAUCCUCUCAGGCCCAACUCAUAAUUCACACGGGGAAUCUGCCUCCACGCUAUUAGGAUCAGGAGGUUUAAACUGGUGCCUGAGCUUCUGUGCAAGGAAGAGGAAGGAGGGAAGAUCUGCUGCUUGGCAGGUCUUUUAAGACAAAAUAUGUCAUUCAGCAAAGAAUUCUAGAGAAGGCCACUGACUGAUUGCUAAAUUCUGGUGGAUCCAUAGCCGUUCUUCUUUCAAGGAAUUUGUCUAGCCUCAAAGCCCUGCGCUAAAGCCUCUGCUGCUGCGCUGCCGUGCCUCCCAGCUGAUUUGCGGUGGCGCGAUCACGUCUAUUUCCACCCCAUGUGCUAAAGCCUCUGCUGCUGUGCUGCUGCGCCUCUCAGCUGAUCGCGAUCGCGCCUCCCAGCUGAUUUGUGACUACCACUGAAUCCCACCCACAGCUACACCCUCCCCUUGGUUUUUGCACCAGGGUUGUAUCGCCCGCCCCCCGUCAGAGCAAGCUCCACAAGUUUUGUCGGUGGGUGUUGGAGAAAAUUCCGUUAGAGAAAAAUGCCUUCCUAGAAAUGAGUCUCAAGACCUUGAUCAUGGUCGCAAUGUGGAUUCGGUGUUUGUGCAUGUGUAACCCUGGUUAAAAAUUAUUGGUGAUGACGCCGAGCGCUUGGGGAAACAAAAUCUGGUUUUAGUUUGCCCAAUAAGUGUCUUGAACAGGCAACAGCAGGUUUAAAAAUAGUAUUGCAAUCACAGAAAUAUAGAAAGCUGCCUUAUACUGAGUCAACAGGAGAAAAAAGGAGGGGGAACCCCAAGAUGCUGAAGGAAAGGAUUUCUUGAAUGGAAAAUCCAAAUAGAUUUUAUUAAAAAGAACGAAGCCCAACACGUUUCGGCCACUCGAGACUUGGCCUUCGUCAGGGGCUAUAAGUAAAAUCAUACAAUAUAUCUUUUAGUGGCAUAAUCAUAUCAUACAGUAUAUGACCAUACAUGGCAAUGAGAACAAAAUGAAUACUUACAUAAUAAAUCUAAAAGGUCUAUCUUCAGCUGUUUCCUAUGCAAAAAUGUGCAUGGAAUAUCUACACCGAUUCUGUGCAAUAGAAAACUGACCGUGUAGCAGCAGAAACUGAGAGUGUGAAACUUAUACACUCGCUCGAAUGCCUAUUAGCAGUGAGACAGCGGAAUUUAACACAGUUGUGUCCAAGGGAUCAUCUCUGUAGUGUGAGAACUUAUAAAAGGGGAUUUUAGAAUUAAAAACGCUUGUUCCCGAUGGCCUUAAUAAGGAGAGAGUUCCUUCCCCUUUUAUCGUCCACAGCAUUCGAGCGAGUGUAUAAGUUUCACAGUUAAGUUUUCUUGGUGAUACACAAAAGAGUCAGAGAGAAUUGAGAGAUCACAGUGUUAAACAGAAAAAUAAUUCAGACCCCUGUUGGACUUUUUUCUGUCAGUGGUCUCAUAAUUUGUUGAAAUUAAUUAAAAAUCAGACAUAUUCAGUGAGUACCUGUAAUCUUAUUACUGACCUUGCCCCAUACUCUGACCUUCAUCUUCUGCAGUUUAAAAGUUAAACAAAAUGCCUGACUGAUUUUUAAUUAAUUUAAGAAAUUUAACAUUGGAGUCCAUGAGAGUGCAGGCAUGCUCAAUAAGAACCAACUGUGUUCUAAAAGCCAGACUCACAGCUGUUUGGCCACACUCAUGCCAGACCUUUAUUCCACUUUAGACAAUCAUGGCUUCCCCCAAAGAAUCCUAGGGAGUGUAGUUUGCGAAUGGUGCUGAGAGUUGUUUAGGAGACUCCUGUUCCCCUGACAGAGCUCCAGUAGCCAGAGUGGUUGAACAGUCAGCCCCUCUUCUGGGGAUUGUAGCUCUAUGAGGGGAUAAAACAGCGGGAGAUGAAAUAUAUUCUAGCAAAUUUCUUGGUGUGCUCCAUGUUUUUAAUUGAACACGUCCACCUUUCCUUAAGUGAAGUGGUCUAAGCAUAGCAGACUGAAAACAUGCAUCUUGGGCAGGCCAAGUUUGUUUUUUCUAACAGCUAGCUUCAUUGCUUAAGUAGCAACAUAUUGUAAGUCUGAUUUUACAUCAAACUGCAGUUUCAGAUUCAACUGUUAAUGCACCCAAAAUAGAAAUAGAACAUAACCUCCAGUUUGAAACACAAAAGGCUGUCUUCACCAGCAUAUGACAUUGACCAAUAAAAAGGCUUUGAAAUUAAUAAAAAUAAAUUUGACUUACUAGAUUACUAGGAUGAAAAAUGAAAUAUAAUUUUCUAGGUUAGAUUCUGUAGAAACAGUAGUAACAUAGGAAAGAAGCAAAGAAGAGCACUAACAAACAUACAAAAAUGUGAUUCUCCAUCUCUGGCGAUGGCAGGUGUUGCCACCACUCACCAUAUGCUCAGAGGCACAUGUUACCAAAUUAUUCCAAGCUACACAGGAAGUGGAUUGAACUGUGAAAGACCAACCCAAAUUGUGUUUGCAUGUUUACAAAUUUGUAGGGCAAUACAAUAUCUCAGAGAGGAGGUCGGGUCUCCUGCUCCCCUGGUGCAUUCCCUAUAGCUGCCCAAUUUCCCUGCUUUUUAAAGUUUGAUAGGAAUAUCUGUUGGCUAUAGAUACAUUCUUAAACUGCAAGGGUUUUUUGCCUAUUAGUGAAUUAACAAACUACAGUUUCCAGGAAUCUCCAUGACUAUUAAAAUGAUAUAAGCACACUUUACAUGUAUGGUGUGUACACAGCUCACCAUGUAAUUCUUCUGAAUGUGUAGCUUGGUGCACUUAAUUGUAACUGAAUUAAUCCACAUCUUCUUCUUCUACUCCUAUUCCUCUUU